UCCUAAUUCCUAACCCUAAUCCAUCUCCUACAUCUUUCUCCCUCUCCACAACAAAUCUCCAAUGGAUCAAAAGUCUGCUGGAAAGUAAAAAAACAUAAAUAUGAAACACUAUAGAAACCUCCUUUGCUAGAUCCCCAAAUCACUACUCAAAAUCAUCUUCUGCAGAUUAAUACAUCUGUCAACUAUAAAGCUUCAAAGAUCUGCUCUCUGUUUAAUUGCAAUCAUAGGGCUUCUAUCCACAAUCGCUCAUUCAAUUCGCUUCGAGAUCGAAUCGGGUCACACAAAGUGUAUAGCAGAAGAUAUCAAAAGCAGUUCGAUGACUGUUGGUCAGUACUCAAUUGUUAACCCUAAUGAAGGACAACCUUUACGGCUUUACCUGAAUCUCACAGAAUCACUUUCAGAGCUCGGGAGAAAGAAGCAGAUGGAUUAGGGUUAGAAAUUGGGGGAGAUAUGUUAGAGCAUUCACAUCCAUUCCACCAUAUUUUCACCCUAAAUUACACUAAAAAACACUAUAUUUUCUCUCUCC